ACUCGAGUGGCGAACGGGUGAGUAACACGUGGGUGAUCUGCCCUGCACUUCGGGAUAAGCCUGGGAAACUGGGUCUAAUACCGGAUAGGAGCCAUUUUUAGCGUGAUGGUUGGAAAGUUUUUUCGGUGUAGGAUGAGCUCGCGGCCUAUCAGCUUGUUGGUGGGGUAAUGGCCUACCAAGGCGGCGACGGGUAGCCGGCCUGAGAGGGUGGACGGCCACAUUGGGACUGAGAUACGGCCCAG
rnacentral:rRNA from 1 species